UGUUCCAGCAGAGGCCUACUUUGUAAUAUUCUUGGGGAGCAAAUCUCAGCUUCAACAGACUUUGCCUCCCAGCCUUUGAGAUCAGCAGGCUUCGUGGAUGCUCAGAAUGUGCCUGCUGUAGAGGUUUGCUCCAUAGAGGUGAGCACAUCACAGUGUGACUCUGGGAACUGAGGGUGGGUGACUGACAAAUGCUGUGCUUUCUCUCUCCAUGCACAUGGUGAGCUUGAGUUAUUUUGUUUAUUAAAGCAUUUUGUGGCAAUGGCACUUGAUGAGUCCCAGGUGUUAU
rnacentral:lncRNA from 1 species